rnacentral:rRNA from 1 species
UGAACAUACCAAUUGUUGCCUCGGCGGAUCAGCCCGCUCCCGGUAAAACGGGACGGCCCGCCAGAGGACCCCUAAACUCUGUUUCUAUAUGUAACUUCUGAGUAAAACCAUAAAUAAAUCAAAACUUUCAACAACGGAUCUCUUGGUUCUGGCAUCGAUGAAGAACGCAGCAAAAUGCGAUAAGUAAUGUGAAUUGCAGAAUUCAGUGAAUCAUCGAAUCUUUGAACGCACAUUGCGCCCGCCAGUAUUCUGGCGGGCAUGCCUGUUCGAGCGUCAUUUCAACCCUCAAGCCCAGCUUGGUGUUGGGACUCGCGAGUUAAAUCGCGUUCCCCAAAUUGAUUGGCGGUCACGUCGAGCUUCCAUAGCGUAGUAGUAAAACCCUCGUUACUGGUAAUCGUCGCGGCCACGCCGUUAAACCCCAACUUCUGAAUGUUGACCUCGGAUCAGGUAGGAAUACCCGCUGAACUUAAGCAUAUCAAUAAGCGGAGGAAAAGAAACCAACAGGGAUUGCCCUAGUAACGGCGAGUGAAGCGGCAACAGCUCAAAUUUGAAAUCUGGCUCUCGGGCCCGAG